rnacentral:rRNA from 1 species
UACGUAGGGGGCUAGCGUUGUCCGGAAUCAUUGGGCGUAAAGCGCGUGUAGGCGGCCCGGUAAGUCCGCUGUGAAAGUCGGGGGCUCAACCCUCGAAUGCCGGUGGAUACUGUCGGGCUAGAGUGCGGGAGAGGCGGAGUGGAAUUCCUGGUGUAGCGGUGAAAUGCGCAGAUAUCAGGAGGAACACCGAUUGCGAAGGCAGCUCGCUGGAACGUAACUGACG